CAGCUCCUACGUACAUUACAGCAUAGAUAUACAAAGACAUGGAUUGGAAACGGUGGGGAUCACGUGAUCAUUUCACCUAACAUUUCAAUGGGAGAGGCUACAGCUGGAAAAAACCUAGGCGUGUUACGGGUUAAAAAUAGAUAGUCAGGAAUAUUCUUCAGAAAAGUCUUGAGAAAAUCAACUGUCUAAUGACUUUUUAAGAUUUGAGAAGUCUUCGGGCUAGGAAAACUUUGGCUGCAUAAAGUUCUCUUUUGAAGCUUCUACCUUGAUAUCACAACAGCUAUUAUGAUGAAAUGUGUGGAUUGAUGUGGCUAUUAUCCAAUGUACCGAGUGUUUCUUAUCUUAAUUUCUCGCUUAGGCUGUGUUUUAUUGAGGAAUCGAGAAUAAUCGGACCCACGGUGGAAUUUCUCCCUCUCGCAACUUCAUGACGACUAAUAAAGAAAAUCUGUGGUAUUAGUAUAGUUCCCUAGGAAACUCUCCAAUGUAAUGAGCUACAAUGAAGUGACUGUGUUGUUCCUGCGGAUAUUUUUAAGGCUGUUUCUGCCAUGAAGAAUACUGCCAUUUAUUGAUUGUUUUUAAUAAACUUACUAUGCAUGCAUCUAUUAUUUGGUUCCAACUAUUAGUGUUUACAUUAUAGAAUUGUUAUCAAGUGUCAGUGAUACUCUAGAGUCAAGAAAUAUUCAAUAAACAGGGUUUGUAAUUUUA